rnacentral:rRNA from 1 species
GACGAACCGUGCGAACGUUGUUCGGAUUCACUGGGCUUAAAGGGCGCGUAGGCGGGCCGUCAAGUCAGGGGUGAAAGCCCUCAGCUCAACUGAGGAAGUGCGCCCGAAACUGCAUGGCUUGAGUACCGGAGAGGAUGGCGGAAUUCCCCAAGUAGAGGUGAAAUUCGUAGAUAUGGGGAGGAACACCGGUGGCGAAGGCGGCCAUCUGGACGGAUACUGACGCUGAGACGCGAAAGCGUGGGGAGCAAACAGG